CAUGUAGGCGGCUCUGUAAGCCUGGCGUGAAAGUCCACAGCUCAACUGUGGGAUUGCGCUGGGAACUGCGGGGCUUGAGUCACGGAGGGGGGAGCUGGAAUUCCAGGUGUAGGGGUGAAAUCUGUAGAGAUCUGGAAGAACACCAGUGGCGAAGGCGAGCUUCUAGCCGAUGACUGACGCUGAGGUGCGAAAGCGUGGGGAGCAAACA
rnacentral:rRNA from 1 species